GACGAACGCUGGCGGCGUGCCUAAUACAUGCAAGUCGAGCGCAGGAAAUCGACGGAACCCUUCGGGGGGAAGUCGAUGGAAUGAGCGGCGGACGGGUGAGUAACACGUAAAGAACCUGCCCUCAGGUCUGGGAUAACCACGAGAAAUCGGGGCUAACACCGGAUGGGUCAUCGGACCGCAUGGUCCGAGGAUGAAAGGCGCUUCGGCGUCGCCUGGGGAUGGCUUUGCGGUGCAUUAGCUAGUUGGUGGGGUAAUGGCCCACCAAGGCGACGAUGCAUAGCCGACCGGAGAGGGUGAUCGGCCACACUGGGACUGAGACACGGCCCAGACGCCUACGGGAGGCAGCAGUAGGGAAUCUUCCACAAUGGACGAAAGUCUGAUGGAGCAACGCCGCGUGAACGAUGAAGGCCUUCGGGUCGUAAAGUUCUGUUGUAAGGGAAGAACAAGUGCCGCAGGCAAUGGCGGCACCUUGACGGUACCUUGCGAGAAAGCCACGGCUAACUACGUGCCAGCCGCCGCAGUAA
rnacentral:rRNA from 1 species